AGCGGGACGCUCGGCAUGAGGCCCAAAGUUCUACCUACACCGUUCAGCCAGGGGUCCGUCUCUGAUCGCUGGUGCGCAGGCUCGUCCGACGAGAAGCCCGACGCGGUUAACAUAGAUCCCACCUACUUGAUGUAGGGGUUGAACUUCGGCCACAUCAUGCCGGGCGACCCGCUC
rnacentral:sRNA from 1 species